CAUCAGUAUAGUGACCUCCUGGCAGCAGGGACCACCAGGUUGAACAGGCCUGGAUUGGAAGUCCAGUGGGUCAAAACCCUCAUGCUCAGCAGCCCCAGGAUCACAUGUGAGUGCCCACUGCCCUCCAG
rnacentral:sRNA from 1 species